rnacentral:rRNA from 1 species
CAGGGAUUGCCCUAGUAACGGCGAGUGAAGCGGCAACAGCUCAAAUUUGAAAUCUGGCUCUUUUAGAGUCCGAGUUGUAAUUUGCAGAGGGCGCUUUGGCUUUGGCAGCGGUCCAAGUUCCUUGGAACAGGACGUCACAGAGGGUGAGAAUCCCGUACGUGGUCGCUGGCUAUUGCCGUGUAAAGCCCCUUCGACGAGUCGAGUUGUUUGGGAAUGCAGCUCUAAAUGGGAGGUACAUUUCUUCUAAAGCUAAAUAUUGGCCAGAGACCGAUAGCGCACAAGUAGAGUGAUCGAAAGAUGAAAAGCACUUUGGAAAGAGAGUCAAACAGCACGUGAAAUUGUUGAAAGGGAAGCGCUUGCAGCCAGACUUGCUUACAGUUGCUCAUCCGGGUUUCUACCCGGUGCACUCUUCUGUAGGCAGGCCAGCAUCAGUUUGGGCGGUAGGAUAAAGGUCUCUGUCACGUACCUCCUUUCGGGGAGGCCUUAUAGGGGAGACGACAUACUACCAGCCUGGACUGAGGUCCGCGCAUCUGCUAGGAUGCUGGCGUAAUGGCUGUAAGCGGCCCGUCUUGAAACACGGACCAAGGAGUCUAACAUCUAUGCGAGUGUUUGGGUGUCAAGCCCGAGCGCGUAAUGAAAGUGAACGGAGGUGGGAACCCGCAAGGGUGCACCAUCGACCGAUCCUGAUGUCUUCGGAAGGAUUUGAGUAAGAGCAUGGCUGUUGGGACCCGAAAGAUGGUGAACUAUGCUUGAAUAGGGUGAAGCCAGAGGAAACUCUGGUGGAGGCUCGCAGCGGUUCUGACGUGCAAAUCGAUCGUC